UACGUAGGGUGCAAGCGUUAAUCGGAAUUACUGGGCGUAAAGCGUGCGCAGGCGGCUUUGCAAGACAGAUGUGAAAUCCCCGGGCUUAACCUGGGAACUGCAUUUGUGACUGCAUGGGCUGGAGUGCGGCAGAGGGGGAUGGAAUUCCGCGUGUAGCAGUGAAAUGCGUAGAUAUGCGGAGGAACACCGAUGGCGGAAGGCAAUCCCCUGGGCCUGCACUGACGCUCAUGCACGAAAGCGUGGGGAGCAAACAGG
rnacentral:rRNA from 1 species